rnacentral:rRNA from 1 species
AUUAGUAAGCGGAGGAAAAGAAAACAAAUGUGAUUCCCCCAGUAAUGGCGAAUGAAAAGGGAAAAGUCCAGCGUGAAGGCCAGCAUUUCAUAAAAGAGGUGCUGUGCGAUGCCACGUCAAUAGUCGGGUCCUCGCGUCACAUUCAUAUCUUUGCAUUCCUCUCGGGGAGUGUGAAGGGCUGGUGACUAGGUCUUCUCGAAUGUUGCAUGAGCGGGGGAAGGGCUGCCGUCUUUCGGGGCGGUGGGUGUCCUCCAAUCAAUGUACCAUAGAGGGUGAAAGUCCCGUAUGUUACCGGCUUUGAAUGUGUCCUUGCCCAUUUGACUAUGAUCGAGUCAUGUUCCUCGACCCUGGAACAUAAAUCACCAGGUAUGGUCCUGGUAAGACUAAAUAUGACUGUGAGACCGAUAGCAAACAAGUAGCGUGAGCGAAAGUUGAAAAGAACUUUGAAGAGAGAGUUCAAAAGGACGUGAAACCGCCUUACAGGUAAAGAGAUGGACCCACGAAGUCGUCGUUGACAUGUCGUCUUUGAGGGCGACUCAAUUGCGCGGCCCCACAAGGGCUGCGUGAUGGAUGUUGCUCGUCAUGGCGUGCUGUCACUCUCUCACGGCAAAUGAGAGAGACGAUGUCCUCGGAAAUUGAAUGAUUGGGGGAGAGAUGGGGGAUGCUGGUCAUCUUGUAUGGCCAAAUUCUCUUGUCGUAAGGUGAUGGUGUAGGUGAACUUACAUUCGGUGGAAAGUGAUCUCACUGUCAUUAUGCUCCCUGCCUUUGUAUCAAUUUCUCAUACGCGGUAUGAUGCACGAUAGAUACAAUCUAUUGUGUGAUGAGUGUUGCAUCUUACGCAUGGUCAUUAGGCGUGAUUUGUAUGUGUGUGAUGAUCAUGAAUUUCAAAAGAAUUUCACUGCUCAAUACGUAUGCAAGUCGCGUCGAUGAUGUGGCCUGAGUGGAUGCCCUCAGUGAAGAGGACAAGUAGGUCGGAUAUCCAUCUCACCCGUCUUGAAACACGGACCAAGGAGUCUAACAUGUGCGCGAGUCUGACAAUCUUGAAUAGGUUGUUUACAGGCAAAGUGAAAGCAAAUUCAAUCCGCAAGGAUUUCAGUGAUCUGCAAGUUCGCCUGAGUCGUCCGCGGCUCACGACUUGUGGCGCAACUGAGACGGUUAUUUACCCCCUAACAUGGAGUGGGAAAUGACCAGUCGGAGCGUACACGUUAGGACCCGAAAGAUGGUGAUCUACGCUUGACCAAGAUGAAGUCAAAGGAAACUUUGAUGGAGGUCUGUAGCGAUUCUGACGUGCAAAUCGAUCGUCUGAGUUGAGUGUAGGGGCGAAAGACUAAUCGAACCAUCUAGUAGCUGGUUCCCUCCGAAGUUUCCCUCAGGAUAGCAGGCGCACACUCAAAUGAAGAGUUGGAUCCGGUAAAGCAAAUGAUUAGAGGCCUCGGGAGCGCAAUGUUCUUGACCUAUUCUCAAACUUUCAAUGGGUUCAUAAGCGGGUCAAUUUUCUUGAUUGAAAGUGACCCUUUUAUGGAUAAAAUCAAGUGUGCCUAGUGGGCCUGUUUUGGUAAGCAGAACUGGCGAUGUGGGAUGAACCAAAAGUUGAGUUAAGGUGUCAAAAAUGCAAAUGAAAAUGCCAUUGCUCACUUAUGCGAGCGAUGGACUGUUGAAAGACACUCAUGAGAUACCAUAAAAGGUGUUGAUUGCUAUUGACAGCAGGACGGUGGCCAUGGAAGUCGGAAUCCGCCAAGGAGUGUGUAACAACUCACCUGCCGAAGCAAUCUGCCCUGAAAAUGGAUGACGCUAUAGUGUCAUACCUAUACUCAACCGUUCAUUGAAAAGUGCCUUCAAAAGUGCGUUGGCCAUGAUCAAUGAACGUGUAGGAGGGCGUGCGAGUGAUGUGCGUUGAAGUUGGAAUCGUGAGAUUCAAUGGAGCCGCUCACAGUGCAGAUCUUGGUGGUAGUAGCAAAUAUUCAAGUGAGAAACUUGAAGGCUGACGUGGAGAAGGGUUCCUCGUGAACAGUAAUUGAGCGAGGGUGAGUCGGUCCUAAGCGGGAGCCGAAAGGCUCACCCAAGACAUAGCAUGUUGACUUGUUCAAAGUUGAGAGCUAUUGUCUGCAAAAGGGAAACAGAUUAAUAUUUCUGUACCAUGCAAGGGAGAUAGACAUGUUCGAGGCGAAAUGCGAAAGCUUUCGGGCUUUUCUCAUAGUAGUCUCUCAUGUCAAAAAGGGUAACCUAAACGAGCUCGGGGACGCUAAAUGCAGGUCGGGGAAGAGUUAUCUUUUCUUUGUAAGGUAUUGCUAAAGGGUUCACACGCUCUUUCACUAUGUCCUCGGAAUGAGUUCAGCUCGAGAAGAGGAAGUUAAUACCAAAAACUGUCUGUGUUCUCGCGCAGGCGGCCCGCAUCCUGUCAUUUGGCCCUUGAAAACCGCCGAGUGAGUGUGUAUAUUAUGUUCCUGCAUGGCCGUACCCAUAUCCGCAUCAGGUCUCCAAGGUUCAAGAACCUCUAGCUCCUUAGAUUUAAUGUAGGUAAGGGAAGUCGGCAAAAUAGCACCGUAACUUCGGGACAAGGUGUGGCUCUGUCGGCUUGCACAUAAUCUUGCACUUGGUGGAUCAUUCAAGGGCGCCACAUGUGAGUUGGCUGAAGAAGGCUAAGUUGAAUCAUGCUUUCUUUCGAGAAAGUAUGAUUUGAUGGUGCUCUCGGAAGCAAGCUCACGGUGCUCUGAUUCACAUAUACAAGUCAAGAUGCUCACUUCGGUGAGAAGCAAAAAAAGCCAAGACAGAACUGGCACGGACAAGGGGAAUCCGACUGUCUAAUUAAAACAAAGCAUUGUGAUUCAUAAUGUGAUACAUCACCUGUGCUCAAAGUCAAGGUGAAACGUAUUCAUGAAUGACACAAUGUGAUUUCUGCCCAGUGCUCUGAAUGUCAAUGCGAAGAAAUUCUCACAAGCGCGGGUAAACGGCGGGAGUAACUAUGACUCUCUUAAGGUAUCCAAAUGCCUCGUCAUUUAAUUAGUGACGCGCAAGAACGGAUUAACGAGAUUCCUACUGUCCCUAUCUACUUUCUAGCGAAACCACAGCCAAGGGAACGGGCUUGGGAAAAUCAGCGGGGAAAGAAGACCCUGUUGAGCUUGACUCCAGUCUUAAAUUGUGCGAUGACACGCAAGGUGUAGAAUAGGUGGGAGAUCUUGUUCUUCGGAGCUUGGUCGCCGGUGAAAUACCACCACUUGCGUUGUUGUCUCACUAACUUGUUAAAAAAGGAUUUGGUCUUUCGAGACGUGUUGUGAAGUUUCGGCUGAUCAACACUCUCAUUUCACGACCAAAAUUUGUGAUUUUACGUAUCACGGGUCGAGUUGUCCACUCAUGUGUGAUGAGCGUUCUCUUCGGGGGGCGCUUGUCGCGCUUGAUGGCGGCUCAUUUAUGGCCCUUACAACCUCAGCUGUAGCGCGAAAACAAGAACAGUUUGAGAUGGGGAGUUUGACUGGGGCGGUACAUCUUUAAAAGAGUAACGAAGGUGUCCUAAGGUCGGCUCAGUGAGGACAGAAACCUCACGUAGAGCAUAAGGGCAAAAGCCGGAAUCAUUUUCUUGAUUCAAUAAUGUUCACGCAUGUAAACAUUUGAACCUGGAAACAGGGGCCUAAUGAUCCUUUAGCCAAUAAGUUCAUGGAGAGCAUGUCCUCUCGGGGGCAUUAGUAUCCAUGUAGUUCACGAUUGAGCACAAGCUUAGGUUCAAGCUAUAGGUGUCAGAAAAGUUACCACAGGGAUAACUGGCUUGUGGCCGCCAAGCGUUCAUAGCGACGUGGCUUUUUGAUCCUUCGAUGUC